AACAGUAGGACAGGAACGGUAGGCACGUUUGUGCUCUUAUGCACGCCCCUUAGAGUCCUCUUAGGAAAGUGGUGAGGUCAACCGUGGACAGUUUUUGAAUAAAGCCUUUGGGGUUAUGAGAAGAAACUACAGAGUCAGGUAAUGCAUUCCAAGUAUAUACAAUUCUGUUACAGAAAUCGUGUUUUCUGCAAUCUAAACUGGAGCGGUUGACAUUGAGUUUAAAUCUGUUAGUAUCUCUUGUGAUAUUGUUAUUGAAACUAAAAAAGUCAUUGACAGGAAGGACAUUACAACGGAUGAUUUUAUAUGCUAAACCCAGAUCUUGACGAAGGCGACGAAGUUCCAAGUUUUCUAGACCCAAGAUAUCAAGUCUGGUGGAAUAAGGUAUUUUAUUAGUUUCGGAGGAGUGGAGAAUUCUUCUCGUAAAAUACCUUUGGACACGCUCAACUGUGUUGAUGUCAGAUAUAUGGUAUGGGUUCCAGACAGGAGAGCAGCGUGGCAGCCCUUUAGAUAUUGGAAGAACGCUAUCAUGCUGCCCCCCCCCAGUCCUUCUUGUAAGACCUGAGCUUCAAAUUAAUCCCAGGCUGUCUGGAAUGAGCUUUUUCAUCUAACGUUCUGGUUCCUUAGCGAUAGAUUGGAUAUCUUUGGGUUUUCAGUGUCUUUUUCAUCAACACCAUGACACUCGAUCUAGUGGUGAAAAGAACUUGGACAAAAAGCAAAGAUCCUGUUGAGAGGAACAAGGAGUUCUUUAUGGUCGUUUCACAGCCAGUAUUAUCUGAAGAGGGUGGACCUAUCAGAUUAUUGACCUGGAACUCAACCUGCAAAACUACUGCUCUUUUUUGGAGAUCAUGAGAUUUUAGAAGCUCUGUCCCCCAAAUCAUGGAAAGAACAGUGAUCUCCAGGAACUAUAUCCAAGGCUUUAGGUGACUGAAAAAGCCCUGGGGUCUCGGUCAGUAGUGGGUUUCUAUUGGUUCGCACCAGUUCGGGUCAACCGGUAGUGGCGGUAGUGGGAGGCUCCACCCGGAUCUCAUCAUGGACGCUCUGCGCAUGCGCAGAAGAGUCUGCACAUGCACAGAAGCACCGCAUGCACGCGCUUACAGUUCCGAACCGGUAGCGAAGGAACACAAAGUGGUACAUAUUGUUCUCUCCUUAUUCCUCAACAUUGCAAGAAUUUCUGAAACAGAUCAUCUGAAAUAUAAUGAUACUUACAAACUCAUCUAAGGAAUUUCACGGCUCAAUAAAGAUUUGAAUCUGAAUCCAGUUCUCCAAUCACUAUUGAUGAUAGUUCAUUAUUUCUUUUGAAGGUUUAUAGAGCAUAGACUAAAAGGGUUGGAAGGUAUCUUGGAGGUCUUCUAGUCCAACCCUUGUUCAAGCAGGAGACCUUAUACAGGUUGUCCUCGACUUAUGACCAGAAUGGAGCCUAAAAGUUCUGUUUCUAAGUGGGACGUUUGUUAGGAUUAUGGCUAAGUCUGUAACACUCUGAUAGAGCAUGUAUACAGGUAAUCCUCAACUUACAACCACAAUUGAACCCAAAUUUUCUGUUUUUAAAUGAAACAUUUGU